rnacentral:sRNA from 1 species
GAGUUCUACCGACCUGUGUUCCGCGGCCGGGCCGCGGCUGAGUCUUCCCAGGGCCAGGGUUGGGCGCUUUGCUGAGUCCCCUUGUGGCCGCCAUGGACAAUUCCGGGAAGGAAGCGGAGGCGAUGGCGCUGUUGGCCGAGGCGGAGCGCAAAGUGAAGAACUCGCAGUCCUUCUUCUCUGGCCUCUUUGGAGGCUCAUCCAAAAUAGAGGAAGCAUGCGAAAUCUACGCCAGAGCAGCAAACAUGUUCAAAAUGGCCAAAAACUGGAGUGCUGCUGGAAACGCGUUCUGCCAGGCCGCACAGCUGCACCUGCAGCUCCAGAGCAAGCACGACGCAGCCACCUGCUUUGUGGACGCCGGCAACGCAUUCAAGAAAGCCGACCCCCAAGAGGCCAUUAACUGUUUGAUGCGAGCAAUCGAGAUCUACACAGACAUGGGCCGAUUCACGAUUGCGGCCAAGCACCACAUCUCCAUUGCUGAGAUCUAUGAGACGGAGUUGGUGGACAUUGAGAAGGUGAGUGGCAGCAGGGCCCUGCAUGGGCUGGCAGCCAGAACCAGCGCUGCUCUCUCUUCUUCCCACCAGAGGAGUCCUCUGGUGUCUGAGUGCCGAGAAGGGGGCAUGGGGCGCCGGCAGAACUUGGAUAACGGGGACUGGCUGUGUCCCAGGCAGGCAGGGUGGAGGGUGUGGAAGCUUCACGGAGGCCUCCUCUCCCUUCCCUGCCCUCCCCUGGAACCCAUCCCCCGUGUCUCCCCAGGCCAUCGCCCACUACGAGCAGUCCGCAGACUACUACAAAGGCGAAGAGUCCAACAGGUAGCCCCCUUCCUGCCUGCCCCAGCCCCGCAGGGACCGCCACCACUU